AAAUCCUAACAUCCACCACCAUGUCCACAUGAAAGAAAUCUCCCCGUUGCAGCCUCCUUCACCUCAGAAACUCCGCUUCUUUUUUUUUUCUUUUUUCUGUUCAUCUCACACAUGGACCUAUUUUUCCUGCAAACAUACUACUGAUGGGAUUCCUGGUCAUGCUUUGAAUUAACACGCACCUUCAUACCUGCUCUCUGGAAAUCCCUCUGUGUCUCACCUGCCUGCCCUCCUGCCCUUUCACCACCUCGAAACCAACAGAACUCAGGUCAGCUGUCUCACACUCUCGAAUUCUCCUGGAGUCACGCCGCCUCUCCCUCCAGCCUCUAUCACUCCUCCUGCAAUGUGACUAUUACAUACCAGCCACGCUCCAGUUGCCUUCACGGCCCUGUUUCCCCACAACCAGGUUACCACGCCACAUUAGCCAAGCCACUGUGUAUUUUGCCAUUGCCAAGUGUUACCCUUGUA